UCAACCUCAGAGCGAUGAGGAGGAACUUGAGCCUCCUUUGCCGCUAAGAGCUGAUGAUGAGUGGCAACACUACAGUCCUUAUCUUCCUCCUCAACACCACAGACACGACUAUGAGCCUCGUCAUACCAUGGAUGUUAGGUUUUAUGAUACUGCAGGAGAAAGGCAGAACAACUUUAAUCCCACCAACAGAUUCCCUCCUCAGCCAUAUUACUGUCCUGCUCCCCGGCAGCCCAUGAGACCCUACGAUGACCCCCACAACUGGCUCAGGAGUCGGGAUGACUUAAUGAACCCCAGCCUGGC